rnacentral:rRNA from 1 species
UACGUAGGGUGCGAGCGUUGUCCGGAAUUACUGGGCGUAAAGAGCUCGUAGGUGGUUUGUCGCGUUGUUCGUGAAAACUCACAACUCAAUUGUGGGCGUGCGGGCGAUACGGGCAGACUGGAGUACUGCAGGGGAGACUGGAAUUCCUGGUGUAGCGGUGAAAUGCGCAGAUAUCAGGAGGAACACCGGUGGCGAAGGCGGCUCACUGGCCCGGUACUGACGCUGAGGUGCGAAAGCGUGGGGAGCAAACAGG